rnacentral:rRNA from 1 species
GGGUGGUAAUGCCGGAUGCUCCAUCACAUCGCAUGGUGUCUUGGGAAAGCCUUUGCGGCAUGGGAUGGGGUCGCGUCCUAUCAGCUUGAUGGCGGGGUAACGGCCCACCAUGGCUUCGACGGGUAGCCGGCCUGAGAGGGCGACCGGCCACAUUGGGACUGAGAUACGGCCCAGACUCCUACGGGAGGCAGCAGUGGGGAAUAUUGCACAAUGGGCGCAAGCCUGAUGCAGCGACGCCGCGUGAGGGAUGGAGGCCUUCGGGUUGUAAACCUCUUUUGUUAGGGAGCAAGGCAUUUUGUGUUGAGUGUACCUUUCGAAUAAGCACCGGCUAACUACGUGCCAGCAGCCGCGGUAAUACGUAGGGUGCAAGCGUUAUCCGGAAUUAUUGGGCGUAAAGGGCUCGUAGGCGGUUCGUCGCGUCCGGUGUGAAAGUCCAUCGCUUAACGGUGGAUUCGCGCCGGGUACGGGCGGGCUUGAGUGCGGUAGGGGAGACUGGAAUUCCCGGUGUAACGGUGGAAUGUGUAGAUAUCGGAAAAGAACACCA